GACGAACGCUGGCGGCGUGCUUAACACAUGCAAGUCGAACGGAAAGGCCCUGCUUUUGUGGGGUGCUCGAGUGGCGAACGGGUGAGUAACACGUGAGUAACCUGCCCUUGACUUUGGGAUAACUUCAGGAAACUGGGGCUAAUACCGGAUAGGAGCUCCUGCUGCAUGGUGGGGGUUGGAAAGUUUCGGCGGUUGGGGAUGGACUCGCGGCUUAUCAGCUUGUUGGUGGGGUAGUGGCUUACCAAGGCUUUGACGGGUAGCCGGCCUGAGAGGGUGACCGGCCACAUUGGGACUGAGAUACGGACCAGACUCCUACGGGAGGCAGCAGUGGGGAAUAUUGCAGAAUGGGCGGAAGCCUGAUGCAGCAACGCCGCGUGCGGGAUGACGGCCUUCGGGUUGUAAACCGCUUUCGCCUGUGACGAAGCGUGAGUGACGGUAAUGGGUAAAGAAGCACCGGCUAACUACGUG
rnacentral:rRNA from 1 species